rnacentral:rRNA from 1 species
GGUUAAGCGAACAAGCGUACACGGUGGAUGCCCUGGCAGUCAGAGGCGAUGAAGGACGUGCUAAUCUGCGAAAAGCGCCGGUAAGGUGAUAUGAACCGUUAUAACCGGCGAUGUCCGAAUGGGGAAACCCGGUGCACUUCGGUGCAUCAUCGUUAGCUGAAUACAUAGGCUAACGAGGCGAACCGGGGGAACUGAAACAUCUAAGUACCCCGAGGAAAAGAAAUCAACCGAGAUUCCCCCAGUAGCGGCGAGCGAACGGGGAACAGCCCAGAGCCUGAAUCAGCUUGUGUGUCAGUGGAACGGUCUGGAAAGGCCGGCGAUACAGGGUGACAGCCCCGUACACGAAGGCACACAGGCUGUGAGCUCGAUGAGUAGGGCGGGACACGUGAUAUCCUGUCUGAAGAUGGGGGGACCAUCCUCCAAGGCUAAAUACUCCUGACUGACCGAUAGUGAACCAGUACCGUGAGGGAAAGGCGAAAAGAACCCCGGCGAGGGGAGUGAAACAGAACCUGAAACCGUGUACGUACAAGCAGUGGGAGCCUUCGUAAGAGGGUGACUGCGUACCUUUUGUAUAAUGGGUCAGCGACUUAUAUUCUGUAGCAAGGUUAACCGUAUAGGGGAGCCGAAGGGAAACCGAGUCUUAA